GGAAGUUCUGACCCUCCGCCGGCUCCUCGUCCAUCGCAUCUCAACGUUCGCCAUGGAGAGUUGUUCAGACUCGCCGCUCUCAAGAUUCGUGAAUUUUUGGCCCACAUGACGAACAUAGGGAUCCAGAAAGCAGAGUAUGGUUAGAUAUGACUGAACAUUAUAAAGAUGAGGCUGAAGCUAAUACUGGUGGCUUGAAAACUUGAGGCUGAAGUACUGAUUUACAAAAAACUGCUUUGUUGUGAUGUGGGUGAGCAGAUAUGAAAUUCUCUUGUGGUAACCUAAUAGGUAUUGAGGUUGGCAUUCAACAUUCAGAUGACUUGGAUGUGCUGCAAAAGAGGAAUUAUGGCUGGCUUUCAGCAGUCCAGCAACUUGGAUGCACUUGCAAAAGAGGUAUUGAGGCUGGCUUUCAACAGUAGAGCAACUUGGGUGCACUUGCAAAAGAGGUAUGAUUCCAAUUAUAACUAGAUGCUUCUUCAACAUGGAUGCAGUAACAGAUUUGUCAGCUAAGUUGUGAUAGAAGAUGGCCAUCCCAGAUAAAGUCUCUCCCACAAAAGGGCUGGAGGAACUACAAAUAUGGAGUACCAGGAGGUGAAGGUGAAUAUUCCUGCCAGCCAGCAUCUGUGAAGAAAGUUCAAUAAAAAUAUUUUAAACUUG